rnacentral:lncRNA from 1 species
GUUGCUCGUUAGCCUUUGCCGCAUCGAGUUCCCUUCUCUGAGGAGCGAAUGGCCUCCUAACUGCCGGCCUGUGUCAACAUGGAGUGGAAUAGAGAAGGAAUUCCUCUCUGUCGCCACAAUACCACGCCCUGAACACUCUCUCGGAGCUUCGCAGAAGCUGGGGGGUGCCCUCGCGCUCCGUGCGCUUGGUGCCAGCCCCCAUUUGCAACAGCAGUGCACGCGCCAAGAUCUCGUAAAACGCAUCUACUUUCUUUAUUAUAGUUCAAAUGAGCAUUAUUGUCUGACGCAAAGCGGCGCAAAAAAGGAAUUUUUCGGGGAAUCAGCUGUUUAAAAAUUCCACUUUUCCGCCGGGACCGUCCCAGCUACCGUUCCUGUCUCCAGCAGGACUUUCCCUGCUUACCGCAUUCGCAUCCGGACGCCAGCCAGACAACUUUUCUUCCAUUUCUUAACUUUCUUUGUUGUCGUUGCGGUCUUCUGAGGAAUCUCCGCUGUUUGCUCUUAGCUCCGCCGUCCCUCUGCAGUGCGAGGGACCUGUCGGGUUCUCUCUGUGCGUUUCUUUCUCGAUCCACACCGGCUACACAGUCCUCAUCUUGGCUUCUGCCGUGGGUUUUCCUUCCUCUCUCUUCUCUGUCAAUGCGUUCUGAUGUUUUCUUGCUCCUCUCGACCCUUUUUUCUCCCCGGUGCCGACCCACCAGUAGACUGUCUAAAGUCUCGCGUUGGCAGAAAAGCCCCUUCAGAGACCGAGUGUACACCUGCGAUGAGACUUCUGAAACAAUCCACGCCUCACUGCCAGAAAGGUCUUUUCACCUCUAUAUCUUCGAGAGAAGGCUCUUUAAUCGCCACCUACAAGGUGUUCAGAGCAAAGGGAAAUCAUAGCGAGGACGCUUCACGUUUGUUGAGAGGCGAGGGUCGCGCCUCGACCGCUCUGUGCGUUUCGCGCCUUCUCGUCGUUCGUGUCUGCUUUAUCUUCUGAACACAGAGACGCUCCGCAAAGGGCCUGCGACCUCCCUUUCAGAGCGGCGUUCGACAAUCCGAUCGAACUAGAAGUUCUCUCCCAACCGCUCUCUGGGUUUCUUGCCCAGCUUGACAACCAUUCGAGCGCCGAGUCCGAUAAAGGUUCAAAAGACUAGCUCAAAAGACCAGCGUGAAAUGAAGUGUCUUUCAAGGAGACCACAUUUGAUCGGCAGCUUGUGAUCGAAUUUUCAGCGUCUUCUCUUGAGUAAAUGUUCACGACAAACCUGAGAAGCAGGCUCUCUUUCGAAGGCAUGUCUUCCGUCUCAGAAUACCCCACUGAAAAUAACAAAGAAAGCAUCUCCAGUCAACCACCUUUGAUACUCUUUGACUCUGACGGCGUUCUCUUCCUCUACUCGUUUAUCCUUCGUGUACCCACAUACAUGUAUACGCAU